rnacentral:rRNA from 1 species
CCCUUAGAUGUUCUGGGCAGCACGCGCGCUACAAUGGUCUUCGCAAACGGAUGCAUUCUCGAAGGAGAAUGCCAAUCUUGGAAUCUAUGCCUUGGUCGGGACAGUUGCUUGCAAUUUUUCGACUCGAACCAGGAAUUCCUUGUAAUCGUGAUUCAUCACAUCACGAUGAAUACGUCCCUCCCCUUUGUACACACCGCCCGUCGCUCCUACCGAUCGAAGAGUUAGGUGAAUUGUUUUGAUCGAUAAGAUUUGACUAUGGUCAACUCUCGUUGUGAAAUUCUGUGAAUCUGACUGUUUAGAGGAAGGAAAAGUCGUAACA